rnacentral:rRNA from 1 species
ACGUGAGUAACCUGCCCUGGACUCUGGGAUAACCCCGAGAAAUCGGAGCUAAUACCGGAUAGGACCUUUCCCUGCAUGGGGUUUGGUGGAAAGUUUUUCGGUUUGGGAUGGACUCGCGGCCUAUCAGCUUGUUGGUGAGGUAAUGGCUCACCAAGGCGUCGACGGGUAGCCGGCCUGAGAGGGUGACCGGCCACACUGGGACUGAGACACGGCCCAGACUCCUACGGGAGGCAGCAGUGGGGAAUAUUGCACAAUGGGCGCAAGCCUGAUGCAGCAACGCCGCGUGCGGGAUGACGGCCUUCGGGUUGUAAACCGCUUUUAGUAAGGAAGAAGGGCUUCGGCUUGACGGUACUUGCAGAAAAAGGACCGGCUAACUACGUGCCAGCAGCCGCGGUAAUACGUAGGGUCCGAGCGUUGUCCGGAAUUAUUGGGCGUAAAGAGCUCGUAGGCGGUUUGUCGCGUCUGCUGUGAAAUCCCGAGGCUCAACCUCGGGCCUGCAGUGGGUACGGGCAGACUUGAGUGGUGUAGGGGAGACUGGAAUUCCUGGUGUAGCGGUGGAAUGCGCAGAUAUCAGGAGGAACACCGAUGGCGAAGGCAGGUCUCUGGGCACUUACUGACGCUGAGGAGCGAAAGCGUGGGGAGCGAACAGGAUUAGAUACCCUGGUAGUCCACGCCGUAAACGUUGGGCGCUAGAUGUGGGGACCUUUCCACGGUUUCCGUGUCGUAGCUAACGCAUUAAGCGCCCCGCCUGGGGAGUACGGCCGCAAGGCUAAAACUCAAAGGAAUUGACGGGGGCCCGCACAAGCGGCGGAGCAUGCGGAUUAAUUCGAUGCAACGCGAAGAACCUUACCAAGGCUUGACAUGACCGAGAACGCCCUAGAAAUAGGGAACUCUUUGGACACUCGGUUACAGGUGGUGCAUGGUUGUCGUCAGCUCGUGUCGUGAGAUGUUGGGUUAAGUCCCGCAACGAGCGCAACCCUCGUCGCAUGUUGCCAGCACGUUAUGGUGGGGACUCAUGUGAGACUGCCGGGGUCAACUCGGAGGAAGGUGGGGAUGACGUCAAAUCAUCAUGCCCCUUAUGUCUUGGGCUUCACGCAUGCUACAAUGGCCGGUACAAAGGGCUGCGAUGUCGUAAGGCGGAGCGAAUCCCAAAAAGCCGGUCUCAGUUCGGAUUG